AUGAUCAAGGGAGACCAGAGGCAGCUUGGCGGCCAUGAAGAGCGAUUGAACAACGAGAUAAGAGAUGAUCAUCAGGCCUCGGAUGGCAACUUCUUCAAGUUCUUGCAAAACCAGUCAAGCUCAAAAAAAGAGGCUCAAGAAGACAAGAUAGCAUCCACAAGGGCAGAGAUGGGAGAAGUGAGAAAAGAGAACGAGAGGCUGAAGGCGAUGUUGCCACGGAUGGUGGACGACCAUCGAACCCUUCAGAAGCAGUUCGAUGUUCUCCACCAGCAAGGGCGAGGCAAGAACCUCGCCGUGGGCUCAGCGGAGCACACAUCACUAGUCGACGGUGUUAAGGAUCCAAGGUUCAUCUCUUUGCGCCUCGGAACGAGCACCGGCACGAGCAAGCACAACUACAUGGGAGAAGAGAUCAAGGGCAACACUAAUAAUCCAGACGACAUAGCUGUUGGUGCAAGAACUGAUGGAGGUGAGAUAAAGGUGCGGCCGGAUGUGGUGACAUUGAGCCCUGGAGGCAGCUCCGAGGAGGAGGCCGCAGAGACGACGACAACGUCAGUGGCAAGCAAGACCGAGAAGAACCCGAGGAGCACGGAUUCCGAGGAUGACGUGGCUCAGCAGCCGCUGGCUAAGAAGGCCAGGGUCUCGGUGAGGGCAAGGUGUGACACACCAACGAUGAAUGAUGGGUGCCAGUGGAGGAAGUACGGGCAGAAGAUAUCCAAGGGGAACCCGUGCCCACGCGCCUACUACCGCUGCACCAUCGCAACGGGAUGCCCCGUCAGGAAGCAGGUUCAGAGAUGUGCGGAGGACAUGUCGAUCCUGAUCACCACCUACGAGGGCUCGCACAACCACCCGCUCUCCGCCUCUGCAACCGCCAUGGCAUCCACCACCUCUGCCGCCGCGUCCAUGCUUAUGUCAGGCUCCUCCACCUCGCUGGGCUUCCCCUCUGCCGCCUCCAACCUCCACGGCCUCAGGUUCGGCCUCCCAGCGGCGACCACCGUCGAUCCCUUGAGCCAGCUGAGCGCCCGGCCGUUCUUCCUCCCGGCAGCUGCCGGCACGUCCAUCAGCGUCACCCCGUCGUACCCCACCAUCACCCUCGACCUCACGUCGCAGGCCGCCUCGCAGCAGGCCUUCUCCCUCAGCAACACCAACAGGUUCUCCUCCAGCUUCACGGGCUCUUACGGCCAUAGCAGCAGCACUGGUACUAGGUACCCUUCCACGAGCUUCUCCUUCUCCGGCUCCGGCGCGAGCAGCCUGCCCGGCGCCACCGCGUGGCCGGCCGGAGUUGGACCGUACCUGAGCUACGGAUCCUCGCCCAGCGCACCCUACAACGACGCCGGCAAGAGCUCGUUCGAGGCCGCGCUGAGCAGCAUCAAUGGAAGGCAACAAGGCUCAGCGGCAUUCCUCUACCAGCCGGUGCAGCAGAGGGCGGCUCACGUGAGCGGCGGCAGCACGGCACCGACCGUGCUCACCGACACGAUCGCCAAGGCGAUCACGUCGGACCCGGGCUUCCACACGGCGCUCGCGGCCGCCAUCACGUCGUACGUCGGCAAGCCGGCUGCAGGAUGUGGCAAGGGGCUCGAGUGGGGUGAGCACCUCGGGCUGGGGCCGUCCAGUGCGGCAGCCGCGGUGUGCUCGUCGGCAGUGCUAGCACGAUCGUCAUCAACGGGGGCCGCACAGAACGGUUCCCCGAACGACAGGAUGACGUUGCAGGCGUCGCUGGCGCUGUCGGGCUCCACCAGUGCUACUGCUUCGACGUUGUGA
rnacentral:rRNA from 1 species